GUAAUUGUCAUUGCCAGCAACGCAAGAAUAUUCGGGUGUUAUCCAAUUUGCUUGUCUGCUACUUUUAGGGAAAAUAUUUGGCUGUUAUUAUUCAUUUUUGAUGACCAUUCUUUACCGAUUGAUAAAGAAGCCGGGGGAUGUGGACCGCCUCCCACGAAGUGUAGUUUAGCUGUAAUGUAGUGACCAGGGAUUGGCUCCAUGAUCGUAUAAUUUUCUUUCCCACGCGGCCUGGGGGCUGUGGACCGCCUCCCACGAGGUGUAGCUUAAAUUGUAAUGUAGUGACCAAAGGGCUUGGCUCCAUGAUCGUGUAAUUUUCUGUCCCGCACGGUCUUUUUCGGGUUUUUUGAUGGUAGUACUGCGUCCAAGUUUCAGCUCCAUCUUGUGGUCCUAACGCAUUGAAAAGUGUAUCUGACGUAUCUCUACCUUUCGCCACAAAAAUGAAGGGGAAAAUCUUGUGCCAGAUUUAGGUAGGAUAUGAGUACCAAUUCUGGGUUCAGCCAGAAGUUGAAUGCAGGUAGAGGGGUUCCCACAUAUCCUCGUUUUAUAGUAUAUUUAAGUUCUAUCAGGAAAAGCUUGUGUUCCCAUACGCCACUGAAUCCUGCAAAUGGCAUUCAAACAAAACAUACCCGAUUUUGGCAUCCCCAUGAUGUUUUUUGAAUGUCAUCUUUUCGUUUCCUGUAAAUAAUUUCUUCAAUAAUGUAGGUAAGCAAAAUCUGAAAUCACACUGCUUUAGUCAUUUGUUCUCCGGAUUUUGUUUUGCCCAAAAAAAUCGGAGACGUAAUGGAAAUGAAAGUGGCGUUUUUUUGCUUGGGGUACCAGAAAAAAGGUCAGUCAUGGGACAUAUGACCAAACCCAUGAAGAUUAUAUCCAUUGGAUUCAAAUGCAUUUUUGGAAAGCAGAAAAUGUUAGUAUCGUAGCAUACAGAUGUUAUCCUUGAAAUCAAAACAGGUUGAGCAAACCACCCCACAGCACAAAACAUGCAUGAACAAUUUUAACAAACUUACUUUCACAACUUCCAAAUCAAACAGACUUACACUGCCAACUCGUCAUAGAAUCAGUCAUGCCAGACCCUUGUUGAGCUUCACCGCCAGGCUUCAAUCCGCUCCGUCCUUGAAUUUAUGCGGCUGAGAUUGCUGAUUCCCUUGGUCUUCUCCAGGGGUCCCGGUUCACAAACUGAAGAUGGCUGCCUGUUAAUUGUUUUGGGACCCUUUUUGAUAUUUGAAUUACUUGAUUGGCCACUUUUGCUCUUAAGAGGGUUUGCUUGAACCCCAGUUUUUGGACUAUCAACCGCAUAAACUUCUGUUUCAGCGACGAAUGUUUCAACUUGAGUUAGAGUCUCAAAAGAUCCAUCCAUGUUAGGGAGCGACUUCUCAAGAGAAGUUAAAAAACCAUGUGCUUCUCUAUCCUCCACGUGCUUGUUCUGAGUACAGUAAGGGGGGCUUUCUAAAACAGGUUCUUCCAUGAUGAAGGCUUGCUCUGUCUCUUCAUUGUCUUGUGCAGUAUUUUCUAGCCAGGUGGGCUGAGAAGGGCUCUGGUGUCCAUUCUCAUCAAAUGGCUCAAGGCUGGAAGUAGGAGCCGGCUCUACCAUUGAAUCUUCUCUUUCUCGUAGUGUCUUUAUGAUAAGUGUCUUGAGGAAAUUCAUGACUUGGACAGCAUACAUCAAUGCAGUCAGAGGAUCUGCCAUCUAUGAUGAGAAGAAAACAUAGAAGGCUGUUACCAAUGGUGUUAUUGAAACAGUUGCAGAACGAUAAAAUGAUAAAUUAUUGAUUGAAAUCUUAAAAUGCCUUUAUUUUCAGUGAGUGAUGAGAGAAAAACCCACUGAUUUAAAAUGCAAUGAGAACGUCAUAUUCAUUCAAUUUCAUCUGGACAUGCAAAUCCCUACUUGGACAAUUUUCAAGAAGCGUAAACCAUUCAACCUCACCUGAGUCAUGUUUGGUGCAAAGACCAUUGCAAUGUUGCGUGCAUUCAUUUUGUUUAGAUGCUCCUCCUGGACGACAUCUGCCAUGAGGUUGAUGGCCCAAUCCAGUAGAGCAGCUUCCGUAGGAGGCAGAAGCCUCACGAGCUCUGCACAUUCCUCUUCUGCUUGGCAUUGCAUUACCUGCUCAGGUGACAGAGAGUCCAAAACCCCAGUUGGGAGUUCUCUAAACCAAGCCUAUUGAAUCAAAUACACAUUAAAGUCAAUCUAAGAUUGAGACAGUUUGAUUUUAAAUGGAAGAGAAGUGAUGGAACAAAAUAAACAUGAAUUGAACUUUCUUGAUCAUCAUGAGGUUGAAUUGACUAUAAGACCUCAAGGUAUAUAAAAAAUAGGUAUCCAACUUCCUGAUUGAAAAAAAGUAUCUUUUGCACAAUUUAUUAACAGAAAAAUCAGCAGGCUUAAAAUUGUGGAGCUGUACCUUAAUAAGACCUGCUAGACAAUGUAAAUCUAUUCCUUCUGGUACCACUCCCCUAUUUAAUUGCUCUCUCACAUACUCCUCCUGGCUGUUUUCUGCAUUAAUUCUAAAAAUCCCUUCUGCCUGCAUUGAUAUUCAACAGUCUGAUGAAGUCUGGAAGAUGAUAAACUCAAUAUAGAUCUAAGUGAAAU
rnacentral:lncRNA from 1 species